rnacentral:rRNA from 1 species
AACGAACGCUGGCGGCAUGCCUAACACAUGCAAGUCGAACGAGACCUUCGGGUCUAGUGGCGCACGGGUGCGUAACGCGUGGGAACCUGCCCUUAGGUUCGGAAUAACUCCCCGAAAGGGGUGCUAAUACCGGAUAAUGUCUUCGGACCAAAGAUUUAUCGCCUUUGGAUGGUCCCGCGUUGGUUUAGCUAGUUGGUAGGGUAAAAGCAUACCAAGGCGACGAUCCAUAGCUGGUCUGAGAGGAUGAUCAGCCACACUGGGACUGAGACACGGCCGAGACUCCUACGGGAGGCAGCAGUGGGGAAUGUUGGACAAUGGGCGAAAGCCUGAUCCAGCAAUGCCGCGUGAGUGAUGAAGGCCUUAGGGUUGGAAAGCUCUUUUACCCGGGAUGAUAAUGACAGUACCGGGAGAAUAAGCUCCGGCUAACUCCGUG